CAACUUAUAAGAAAUUGAAAGUAGCUUUUAUAAAAACAAAAUUAAACACAAAGCCAUUCCGUGGCCAUCCUUAAAAGGAAGAAGCAGCCAUACUCAUUUUAUUUCCAAGCCGUGCCAAGAGAAAGAGAGAACAAGGGAAUAUAGAAUUAGCAACUAUUCUUCUCACAAAAUAAAAAUUUUCAAGGUAUGAUCACUUUCUUAGUAACUAAUGAAAAUUACAGUUUAUAAUAUAGUAUAGUGCUAUGUUGGUUGUGGUUGAGCUGUGUGUGUGAAACUUGUUUUUAAAACUGAUGCACAUGUGGUGUUUGAUUUAAGGCCUCUUAGAGACUAAAAAGCUCAAAUUGGGCAACUAGUGGACUGUUUUAGAUCAAUUUGUGUUGUGCUCUGAAACUGAAAAAUUUAGUUCCGGGAUGAUGUGUGGUACUCUUAUGAGUUAUGAACACAACCCAAUUGGAAUGAGGGAAAAAUCCGUUGUAACGAAAUCAUAACGAAUUUCUUAGUAAAACAUGUAAAACAAACUAGUUAAAACUGUUUUUGGGGACUGUUCUUGAGCCAAAAUUUAUGAGGGUAUAGAACUGAAAAUUUAAGUUUUUGUAAUGGUGGGUUGGGCUCCUACGAGUUCUGGAAAUAAUCCAAUUGGAAUGAACCAAAAAGGAGCUAAAACGAAUUUAUAAUAAAGGCUUUAGUAAAACAUGUUUGAAAUCAAAAAAAUUGUGAACUGCUGACCUAAAGGGACAAAUUCGGGGCAAGCUAGAGUUUCCAGAAAAUUCGGGGCUUUUGGGAUAUUAUAGUAAAUUGAAUAAGCUUUCCAUGGACACCGGAACGGACUAAUUCCGACUUUGGAGGAGGGAGUUAUGGCAUUCCAAAGUGGGUGUGUCGAAUCUGUCCAAAAAUUUAGAAAUCAAAUUUGAACCUGUCCCUUGCGCGAAUUUUCUGGAAUUAUGGGUGCAGAGCAUGGAAAAGGUUAUUGAAUAAGAGUUGUAGCCCUGGAAGUUAGCUUCGCGUGGGCAGAAGAAUCACUCAAAAAUGUUUGAAAACGAAUUAGUUAUGACUAUUUUAGCGAGAGAGGGUAAAGCUGGAAAAAAUUAAAAACAGUUGCGACCAAACAUUUUUGGGGUUUGUUUUGGACUGCUUAUGAUGUCCAAAAUAGGUGGAUUAUAUUUUCUAAAUAUAGCCUAAUAUGGUGUCAAAAAUAUAUCUAAAAUUGGUUGUAAUCGAAGUUAUGAGCUAAAAGAUAUGAAAUUGUAACGAAGCCAUGCGGCGUAAGGAACUGCUGCCCAUGGCAGCAGCAGUAUCAGUACUCGGCAGAGGCUAGGGUUUCUUUUGAGUUCUCAGUCAAUGCAUUUAUAUUACUUGAAUUGUUGAGCUUGUAUUUUUCUAAAAAUAGGCAAGUGUAUCACCUAUAUAAUACCCAAGAUUCAGCGCAAUUGAACGGAUAAAUUAGGAUAUAAAAAUCCACGAAAAGAGUGUCUAGGAGGAAGGGGCCUGUUGCUAAUGGCAGCAGCAGUCAGUAGCACGAAGCAGAAAGCAGUUUGACAUGCAUUUUUUUAGCUUGUUUGUGUACCCAUGAAGUUAGUUUAUAAGUUAGUUAAAAGACGGGUAUAUAACCUACAACACAGCCAAAGCUUAAUAGAAUUUGAAUUAACGAGUUGAGAAUGGUAAAAUAACAAAGUGAGCGUCGCAAGCUCGGGAAGGUUGUUUAGCCAAACAAGGUCAGACCAUGGGGCUGUUAUUGCUUCAAGUAGCAUUGUUUGGAAACGCAAUGGUUUUUAAUAAAACAGUUCACAAAGAUGAGUAUAUAAUGUAACUUGGAAGCUAUAAUUUAUCAUAUAGAUUAUAAGUACACUCAAUAUAUGAUAUUAAGCUAAGAAUCUAUUUUAUAUACUUAAGUCAAGUAUGAAAGUAUAAAAAUACCAAUAUAUUGGUCUGUGAAUAAUUUAGAAAUCGAAAUCGUAGAAUAUUUAUAUUCAAAGGUCAUGACAAGAGAUAUUAAAGCGAAAAAUGAUUUUCAUUAGUAAAAGGAUUAAAGAGUUGGAAAGUAUAUAAAAGUUUUUCUAAAACAACAAGGUAAGCUAGCACUACAAGAAAAAGGCCUAUCUACGUGAAAGUGAUGUGGUCAAUAUGGAUAUUUAAUAUAUAAUUGUACAAGUUAUAUAUAUAUAUAUGUUAUGGAUAUGUGGUUAAUACAUUCAUGUAUGUGAAUAUAAUUAUUAGAAGUUGUGAAAGGAAGUUAAGUAUGUCCCGAUGCACCAAGACAGAUAUAAAACGCAGUCUAGCAAUCAUAUGACGCGUAUAUCCAUUCAGAUCAUUCUAAAAGCUAUAAAAGCGAUAAGUAAACAUAAGUUUACAUAUAUACGUAUAAUACAUCCAUAUAUCGGGAAUACGUGGACAGUGUGCAAAGCUAUUUUAAAACUGUAAUUUAAACUAAGUGGUUUUUGAAAUACAAAGCAAGAAUUAUGCAAACGGAGUUGAAAACUGAAUGUUUGACAUAAAUAAGCUAUGUGUAGGUAUAAGACAUACAAAUAACAUAUGUCUACCUACAAAUCAAGCAAAUGAGGAAAUGUUUGACAUUAUAAGAGAGGCGUAUAUGUAAAUGCAUAUAUAUACCUCAUGUGUACAUGAAAGGGGGAAAAGAAAUGUAAUAUGAAUGCAUUAAGCCUAGAAAACUAAUAUUCGUGCGGAAUAUCAUUUAAAUUACUCACAAAAGCGAAAAUGUUAUAAUUACGCAAAAUAAAGGCACAUAUGCACUAUAUGACUAUAAGUCUACAUAUUGAUACGUGUAAAGUCUGUAAAUGCAUUAUAAAAGGGUUAUAAACUGUAAAUGUAAUGAAUUGACAUUUUAAAAGUCGUGUUGGAACUUUUUGAGAAUGUAUGGCUAUAUUAAGCCGAAACCUAAAAAAUUCAAGAGGAAUAUGGAGGUUUCUUGGAAAUAAGAAUAUCAGAUAUUGAUAUAGUUUAUGUGAAUAUUUAUUAACCAUACAGGUUAUGAGAUAUGAAUGUGUGACUAAUGUAUGCAUACAUGUGAACAUAACUGUGUAGGAUUCGUGAAGUGAAGUAAACUAAAGUUUGUAUCAAUGGUCAUUGAACGAGGCAAGUUUUUCAGUUCUAUUAUGUUUGUGGAUUAAAUGUGAUUAUGUGAUGAGUUACAUACCAUGCUUCAUGAAUUGUUAAAUUCAAAAUAUGACUAAGUUAAUUGGAUUAUGGAACUCAAUUUAUAUGUGAUAUGUGAUAACACAUGUUGUUAUGAUGUAACUCAAUAAAUUAGAAAUGCAUAAUGCAUGAAUGUAUGCUUUGUAAGAAAUUAUUGAUGCAUGUAGGAUAUGCAUAGUAAAGAAUAUAUGUUGCAUGCAGAUAUGCAUAGUAAAGGAAAUGUAGUGCAUAUGGAAUUGUGUGCUAUGUGAAACAUGAUAGACUGUUAAAUUUGCUGGGCUGUCAAGCUCAAUCUUGCAAACACAAACUUUUUUCAGGUUAAUGAUGUUAAGCAAUAUUACUUGCUAUACGGAUGAUGAAGAUUGAACGAUGUGCAAAAUAAAGACGUUUCCUUGAAUUAGAAAUGUUGUAAAUCUAUGAUUGAUAUUUUUGUUAAAUGUAAUUGGCCGUUAUGUAUAUUUUGAAAUGUUGAAUGUAUAAAGAAUGUUUAUUAUAAAAUGAGAAUAAAUAUGAUUCUGAAAUAAGUGAAUCAUCGACAUAAAAGAUAUAAAGUAUUGAGACUUAAGUUUUUAAUACGUUUACUCAGAUAAUACAAAUCAUAAAAUAGAUAUGAUUUUUGUAUAAAGAAGAAUCGUAAAAGUUGUGAUUCAGGGAACGA
rnacentral:lncRNA from 1 species